UCCGUAGGGGGCAAGCGUUGUCCGGAUUUAUUGGGCGUAAAGAGCGUGUAGGCGGCCAUACAGGUCAGCUGUGAAAACUCGAGGCUCAACCUCGAGACGCCGGUGGAAACCAUCAGGCUAGAGUCCGGAAGAGGAGAGUGGAAUUCCUGGUGUAGCGGUGAAAUGCGCAGAUAUCAGGAAGAACACCCGUGGCUAAGGCGGCUCUCUAGUACGGUACUGACGCUGAGACGCGAAAGCGUGGGGAGCGAACAGG
rnacentral:rRNA from 1 species